AAACAACAAUGGAGGGAACAACACCCCUGGAGGGAAACGUCCAUCACUGAGCAAACCGGUCUGUAUGCCGGCUAAAACUGGAUGGGGCUUAAUGGAUCAUCCUCCGUGGGCUAAGGUCUUGACGCUGGGUCUUCCCGGAAAACUAUUCCAACCGUAUGAGAAACUCUGAUAGGGGGAAAACGUAGGCGGUACCCCCUUGCGUCAGAUCUGCCCUCCAGGACUCUAC